GUUGGGGACAGGGAUGGAAAAAUGGUGGUUCCAGGCAGGUAUGAGUGCUCUGUCUGCAUGCACGCCAGAGAGAGCUUCAGAUCCCAUGAUAGAUGGUUGUGAGCCACCAUAUGGUUGCUGGGAAUUGAACUCAGGACCUUUGGAAGAGCAGCCAGCACUCUUAACCGAGUGCUGGCUGAAAGAUGUGCCGCCGAAACCGUGACCAAAGGUGGCAAGAUGCUUCCGGAGAAGUCUCAAGGAAAAGGAUUGCAAGCGACAGUAGUGGCUGUGGGAUCGGGCGCCAAAGGACAAGGUGGAGAGAUUCAGCCAGUCAGUGUGAACGUCGGAGACAAAGUCUUCUCCCAGGAUACGGAGGUACCAAAGUAGUUCCAGACGGCAAGAGAUGGUGACGUUCUUGGAAAGUAUGUGGACGGAAAUCACUGUUGAAAUGGUGUCACAUGAAGCUGCCCAUUCGGCUGACGGCCUGAACUAUUUAUUAUUCAUCAUGCAAAUA